rnacentral:tRNA from 2 species
GGGUUGAUAGCUCAAUGGUAGAGCAGUACCCUUUUAAGGUAUUGGUUCUGGGUUCGAGUCCCAGUCAACCCA